rnacentral:rRNA from 1 species
GUGGGGAUUAGUGGCGAACGGGUGAGUAACACGUGGGCAAUCUGCCCUUCACUCUGGGACAAGCCCUGGAAACGGGGUCUAAUACCGGAUACAACACUCUCGGGCAUCCGAUGAGUGUGGAAAGCUCCGGCGGUGAAGGAUGAGCCCGCGGCCUAUCAGCUUGUUGGUGAGGUAACGGCUCACCAAGGCGACGACGGGUAGCCGGCCUGAGAGGGCGACCGGCCACACUGGGACUGAGACACGGCCCAGACUCCUACGGGAGGCAGCAGUGGGGAAUAUUGCACAAUGGGCGAAAGCCUGAUGCAGCGACGCCGCGUGAGGGAUGACGGCCUUCGGGUUGUAAACCUCUUUCAGCAGGGAAGAAGCGAAAGUGACGGUACCUGCAGAAGAAGCGCCGGCUAACUACGUGCCAGCAGCCGCGGUAAUACGUAGGGCGCGAGCGUUGUCCGGAAUUAUUGGGCGUAAAGAGCUCGUAGGCGGUCUGUCGCGUCGGAUGUGAAAGCCCGGGGCUUAACCCCGGGUCUGCAUUCGAUACGGGCAGACUAGAGUGUGGUAGGGGAGAUCGGAAUUCCUGGUGUAGCGGUGAAAUGCGCAGAUAUCAGGAGGAACACCGGUGGCGAAGGCGGAUCUCUGGGCCAUUACUGACGCUGAGGAGCGAAAGCGUGGGGAGCGAACAGGAUUAGAUACCCUGGUAGUCCACGCCGUAAACGGUGGGAACUAGGUGUUGGCGACAUUCCACGUCGUCGGUGCCGCAGCUAACGCAUUAAGUUCCCCGCCUGGGGGAGUACGGCCGCAAGGCUAAAACUCAAAGSAAUUGACGGGGGCCCGCACAAGCAGCGGAGCAUGUGGCUUAAUUCGACGCAACGCGAAGAACCUUACCAAGGCUUGACAUACACCGGAAACGGCCAGAGAUGGUCGCCCCCUUGUGGUCGGUGUACA